GCCUUGGAAAAUUCCUCUCGGCCUCUUUGCACUCAACACGCAGCAUCUCUACGGUGGCGAUGGACAUCGGAUAAACCACCAUCUUAAUAUUUUCCUUGACAUUUACCUUUAUGAUGCUAAUCAUGUCUUGGUCAGUUAUAGGGUGUAACAAGCGAGAUCUCAGCUGUCCCAUGGCCUGGAAAUACGCAUCAACCGGUUCAUUUGACAACUGUUUUCUGUCCACCAAGUCUCUCAUGGCUUCGAACGCCGAUUUGGUAGAGCGAUAUUGGCACAGGAGAGCAUCCUUCAAUUGAAUCCACUGGGUGAAAUUCCUUAGUUUCUGUGAUUGCCAGAACCACUCCAAUACGGGUCCAGAUACUAAUAAUCUAAAGUCCCUUAAGAUCUCCUCCCACGGGACUCCGUAUUGCGACUGUAGGCACUCCAAGCGGAAGAUAAAUUCCUCAACGGUGGCUGUGAGUAGUUCGUGCUCGUUGAGGGUGGCCUGUCCCUUUGUGAACUAGAGCCCGAGGAUCCAGGCUGGGACGCGUUUGUACUCAUGCUGCGGCUACCCUGGCUACCUGUUCCGUUCGCGGCGUUGUUACCUCCGAGGGCCAUACCCUGCACGGUUCUAACCAAGAGCCCUGUCGGCCGUGUGACUCCUGCCGUUGCCGGGAGUCGAAUAGCGUUCGCCACCACUGUCGGUUGCGGUUUGUGCCACGAAUGCCGGACUAGCCACAUCCCCCUGGGCAGGUUGUCGAUUAAUAGUAGCAGAUAAGUCCCUAAUCUGACCAUCCUUACUAGCCACAUUACUAUUCAAACUGUUCAUCUUCUUCUUCUUAGUUUCACGAUUAUACCGUUCAGACUCCUCGUUGAAUGUCGUUGGCCGGUCUCUUUUACUUUCCGAGCGAGACCUCGUAUUCAUCACCCAGAAGGUUUCCUACUCUAGGCUCUGAUUCACGACGAUAUCCGUAUUCGCUCCCCCAGAUUUAUUGGAAUAAUGUAAAUCGGGUAUUUCAAUUCUGCCAGCCGUUAUCUCUCAAACUUAAGACAGUAUAUACCACAAAAAUGUAUUAUUAUUAUUAAUUCCCUUUCCUGGCAAAGGUUUACUUUCAAUAGGGUUAUAAAUGUAUCGUUAUAUCCUUUUCCUCUCACUGUAUAAAAAAAAUAUACUAGCUAUUAGCUCACCUAAAUCAAUCGUAAAUUCAGUAAAAUUCAAAUCUAUUCAAACUAUUAGGAGGUUCACGGUUGUAUUCUCAGAGAGAUGUAUGUGUUAGGAGUGUAUUCAUAUCGUAUCGAUUCAUGAAGUGUAAAAAAAAAUCCCAAAGAAUAUCUUGUAAAACAUUGCACAUCUAUAUGGAAUACCUAAAAUAGGACCAUUGUACCAUGGCAAUUAACUUCUCUCCUUUCGAAACUAAAGUCCUCAUGGCAAUAAGGCCUUCUGACACUCUGACUCACGGCAUCCAUCCUACCGUAACGGCUAUCAUUCUUCGCCUGCCAUAAAUCCUACGUAUGUGGUAUUCCUUUUUCUAACGAAUCUAACAUAUACGAACAAAACGGGACACAGGUCGAUAACAAACACUCAUAGUUACAAAUAUACAACUAGAUAUUGCAUUUGACCCAUUUUUAUAUUCUAAAUCUAAUCCUAAACUAAUAUAUCUUAAUCUAAUAUUGCACUUUAAACAGCCUCUCCCAUGUAGGGCUGGAUGCAAUACCAACCAGACAUAGUUAGUAUUUGACUAGAUCGAUUUGGGCUAUUGAAUCUAAAAAUUUGGCUAUUACCAAGUACGUAGAUGACAUUGCACUUACUCUCCUUACUCCUAGUACUAGUGACUAGAAAGCAUUGAUUUUAGAUUGGGCGCCAUUUCUGUUACGACCACAUACAUGCGCUAACUUGGGCCUUCCGGCAGCUCUUCGGCCUCAGGGGGAUCCUCAACCCACCCAAAACUAGCCUAUGGUCUAACAUCAUUUUUUUUUAAAGAAUUCACAUAAAAUUUAACAACACAAACACUUACAAAACACACGGGGAUACUCUUUGGGAUUUGAGUCCUUUGGUGUUCCAGACCCACACUCUGCCCACCCUUCCAUGGUCCAUAUGCUCCUUGCCUCAUUUGGUAUGGACCCCACUACCUCCCUCUACCACUUACUUCUCUCUUUCAACCGUUUCCCCUCCCAAACGAAAAAAAACUUACUCCAUUUCAAAUCUGUUAAUACAGUACAUAAUAUAUAUCUCUUUAUUUAAUUAUAACAAAAAAAAAGAAUCUAAUUGAAUCAGAUAAAUAAAAAUACUAACACUAAA